rnacentral:rRNA from 1 species
UAGGGAAUCUUCGGCAAUGGACGGAAGUCUGACCGAGCAACGCCGCGUGAGUGAAGAAGGUUUUCGGAUCGUAAAGCUCUGUUGUUAGAGAAGAACGUUGGUAGGAGUGGAAAAUCUACCAAGUGACGGUAACUAACCAGAAAGGGACGGCUAACUACGUGCCAGCAGCCGCGGUAAUACGUAGGUCCCGAGCGUUGUCCGGAUUUAUUGGGCGUAAAGCGAGCGCAGGCGGUUCUUUAAGUCUGAAGUUAAAGGCAGUGGCUUAACCAUUGUACUCUUUGGAAACUGGAGGACUUGAGUGCAGAAGGGGAGAGUGGAAUUCCAUGUGUAGCGGUGAAAUGCGUAGAUAUAUGGAGGAACACCGGUGGCGAAAGCGGCUCUCUGGUCUGUAACUGACGCUGAGGCUCGAAAGCGUGGGGAGCAAACAGG